rnacentral:rRNA from 1 species
AUUGAACGCUGGCGGCAUGCCUUACACAUGCAAGUCGAACGGCAGCGCGGGGCAACCUGGCGGCGAGUGGCGAACGGGUGAGUAAUAUAUCGGAACGUGCCCUGGAGUGGGGGAUAACGUAGCGAAAGUUACGCUAAUACCGCAUACGAUCUACGGAUGAAAGUGGGGGAUCGCAAGACCUCAUGCUCGUGGAGCGGCCGAUAUCUGAUUAGCUAGUUGGUAGGUAAAGCCUACCAAGGCAACGAUCUGUAGCUGGUCUGAGAGGACGACCAGCCACACUGGGACUGAGACACGGCCCAGACUCCUACGGGAGGCAGCAGUGGGGAAUUUGGACAAUGGACGCAAGUCUGAUCCAGCCAUGCCGCGUGCGGGAAGAAGGCCUCGG